AACGCAUAUUGCACUCUCUGGUAAUCCGGAGAGUAUGCCUGUUUGAGGGUCAGUAAAUAAUAAUUAUCAUGAAUCUUUGAUUUGUGGAAUUGGGCUUUUAUUUCGUUAGAUCUAUGGCCUUAAAUUUACGUUAUGGGCUUGUCAUAUAAAAUCCAAUCUAAAGGAGCAAUUAAACAUUCUCUUUAGCGCGGAUUUUUACAAGCUGUUAUGAUCUUUGGUUGCUGAAGCAUUUUUACGAGUGCAAAACCAAGAUUGUAAGUUUACUCUAACAAUGACCUCAAAUCAGGCAAGAAUACCCGCUGAACUUAA
rnacentral:misc_RNA from 1 species